CUAUUCAACAAUGAAAAAUGUUGGUUGUACAGAACACUUCAGAGAGCACCAUUUCUCAAAAACCAAAGCAAAUUAGGGAAAUCCCAGCAUAAAAAAAUAACCUUUAACAAAUGACGCCAGUAAACGUGCUUUCAGCUUAGCCAAAAAUGCUCAAGCAGGUGUAUCCAAAAUUAUUUUCCAAACAAGCUUUAAGUUUAUCCAAGCAUGCUCAAGCAGUUCGAUCAAAUUGAAAAAGAGAAUUACAACCAAAUCCCCCAAGGAAGAAAGAGGAGGAGGCAGGAGGAAGAGUGGGGAGAGGAGGAGGAGCGGGAGGAGGAAAAGGAGGAGGAGAAGAAGCGGCAGCAGGGAGGAGGAAGAACAAGAACAAGAACAAGAACAAGAACAAGAAGAAGAAGAAGAAGAAGAAAAUGGAGGAGGAGAUGGAGGAGGAGUAGGAGUAGGAGUAGGACGAGAAGGAGGUGGAAAUGGAGGAGGAGUAGGAGGAGGAGGAGGAGGUGAAGGUGAAGGUGAAGAUAGAAGAAGAAGAAAAAGAAGAAAAAGAAGAAGAAGAAUAUUUCUCAAGGAUACAGAGAGGCUCCAGCAGCUCUUCUCUUUAGCUUUAUCAAUCUCUAUUUGAUGAUAAUCCACAGAGAUGAACAAACCAUGAAAAAUGCUACAAUCAAGAAAAAUUAUGCAUCAGAAGAGAGCAUUAACAGGGCAUAACUGAGAAAGAAUGGCUGAUGCUUCCAAUAAUCUCGAAAUAGUUAAAAAACACAAAAGGAAAUAAGAUAUGCAUCCGGCAAGACAAAACAAGACUGGCCUCCAAGGAUGAGGGCUCAAGAGGAAGGACAUAGAGAUGAUACCAUAAAAAAAUAAGCAAGAUAAGGUGGAAUUUAUCCUUACCAGUUACCGCCAAAACAAGGGAUCAUAGCUUUUAUCAUAUUAAUUACACCCUCACGGAUAGAGCAAUCCCCACGACUCGAGACAAUGAGAGAAUCUUAAAAUUAAACCGAAUUGCUUCCCAGUUUGAUUAUACAAAUUUUUAGUAAUUGAAAAUCUAUCAUGCACAAGUCAGAAAAUAAUUAUUAUAAUCUUUCCUUUAGUUUAAC
rnacentral:lncRNA from 1 species